UCUUGACAUUGGCCUGAGGUUGCUUCAUCCUUUUAUGCCCUUCAUCACAGAAGAGAUGUGGCAACGUCUUCAUCUUCAUGCAACACCAUCGUCGAUAAUGGUAAGUGAAUAUCCAUUCAUGGUAGAUUGCUAGAAGAAUGAAAAAGUAGAGAAUGAGAUGGAUUAUCCUGUUAUGUUUGUUGUGACAUCUCUGCGUUCACUGGCAAAAGGAAUGUUGGAAAUAUGGGAAAUAUAGAUCACUGGGUUAUGGCAAUUUAAAAGAGUUUAUGCUUCAAGGCACGUUGUAGCAACGCUAUCUUUGAGACUAUAUUUGCCCCCACUAUUUGUGUGCAAAGGGGUUUAUGCAAAUUAGCCUUAUGGAUACAAUGAAGCCUAGCAAUCUUGCUAUUGUUGAUCGGCAUCUUGCACUUACGACGAUCAACCAACACUCAAUUGAAGGUUUUCAAGGGGCUCAAGAUUCCUAUAAACUAUAACUGCAGUAAUAUAGUUUCUAGAUUUUGUCUUUUGAAAACAAGGAAUGAAAUGGAGAUUUCACUGAGAAGAAUAUAGAGUUUUUGAAUAUAUCAAUCUGUAGAGAAUGAGGUACCCGUUACUGGGCGUGCGACAAUUAAGAACCCUUUUUGACAAUCGUAGUAUAAGGCAAAUAAGGUUCGAUCAAUCCGGAGACUAAGGGUGCUCUUGUGACAAUGGUCAUGUAAAAAGUCAGUAGCUAACAAUAUACAAGUAUUCAUUUACAAAUUUACAUAUGGUACAAGAUAAACGAGGGGGGGGGGGGGGGGGAAUUUGAGAGUUUGUUCUAACAUUCCUAUGGAAAAGAUAAAGACAGAAUUUAAACUAACAUAUACAAGUGAUCAUCUUCAACACACAUCAACCAGAGAUUUCAGAACCAAUCAAACAAGUAUCAACAAGCCUCAACCAUAUAUUCAAGUUCAUCGCCAAGUGAUAUCAAAAACAAACUCGAAACACAAGCCUUAGCGGUCAUGCAUUCCUUUAAUUCUACUUACUUUAUCUCCUAAGCACAGAGAAGUCUAGAACCUAGGAUAUUUCAUGCAAAGGCUGCGAUCGAUACUCCGUGUCACUCAGAAUACCCGUCUACACUAAACAUGAAUCAUUAAGUGUUAUAGAAUUCUGAAUUUGAACAUGCCCAAGUUUACAGGAAGCUGCUUAACCUGCAAACAUGUAACACAUAGUUUCGGCUAUUAUUACAUAACCUUUACUACUGGAGAUCUACACUUACUUGAAGAAGCUUAGUAUAGAUCAUAGCAACACUAACCUGCAGAUUAGAAUUUUAGUUCAAACAAAACUAUGCAUUUAAUGAAAUCAACAAGGCAUAAAACGUAUCACAUGCUAUCAUAGACAAGUUGAAAUAUGCUUGAAUUUAUUCUGAAAAUUAACCUAUUCAUGUUCUUAACAACCAGCCAAUUCCAACUUUGAAAUUUAAUAAAUAACAAGAAAGAAGAAACAAGACAUGAGUUACACUUUAUAAAUCUUCAAGAAAGCUUGAGAUGUUCAAAGGAACACACAGACCUGAUGCUUCUUGGCAGCCUUUUGGAGAAGUCCUACAAAGGUGCUAGCUUGAAUUGCUUCUUUUCUGGAGAGAGGAGUUGAAAAGGAGAAGGAAGGCUAAUGUGUUUCACUGAUUUUUGUGUGAAGAAGAGAUGGUUUGUGAAGUACCCAAGACUGUCUAUAUAUAGAGGAAAUCUUGGUGGAACUUAUCUUCAAAAAUGAUGUAGGACUAGGAGAAAUAUUUGACUUUUCUUCUUUAGGAGCACAUGUUUGAUUUUUCUGCUUCCUUGGACAACUUGGGCCUUCUUUUGGGCUUUCUGCAUUUUUCUCUUCCAUCGUUGGACUUAGGCCUUCUUUUGGGCUUUCUUCUUCCUUCCUUGGACUACAAGAAUGCUUCUCUGUCUUUUUUUGCAUUUUUCUCUUAUUUCCAUCAUUUGGCCUUCUUUUAUUGAUUUAUGCUCUCAUGUCCUUUACAAUAACAAAACAUGUCAGAAAUGGUAAUAUUAUGAGAAUAUCAUAGCUAAAUAGGGUAGAUAACACAUUAUAAACAUAACACUUUGUGCUCAUAUCAGAGAACUACUUUUUUAUAUAGAACUAGUUGUGUCUUUUAGAACUGGUGUCUCUUCAUGUUGGUAGCUCUUCACCAAAGGUUAAGUCUCUUCAAUAAGAGUUACUGAUUUUCUGGUGUUAGUUUAAUUACCAACAAUCACAUAGUUUGAAUUAA
rnacentral:lncRNA from 1 species